CCACUGGUAGCUUAGUGUUAGAGUAGUAGUGUGUAAAACCAGGGCCCGGGUUCGAUUCCCGGCAAGGGCG
rnacentral:tRNA from 1 species